CAUGGAGCUGGUUUCCCAGAGGGGCUGUGGAGUCUCCUUGGAGAUCUUCGGAAGCUUCCUGGACAUGGUCCUGAGUACUACACCUCAACGUAUCACUGUUUGAAGAAGGGAGUAUGAGCAGAUUACCUCCAGGUAAGAGAAGGUGAAACUUAUUCAUACAGGAACAGUCACAUACCCUUCACCAGCUGGUGAGCGGAACAGUCACAACUGCAGAGCCACAGACGUGCAGGUACUCCUGGACAUAAGGUCAGAAGCAGAGUGGUUUAAUCAACUCCUCAGUGAUAGGUAAAGAAUUUUUUUUUUU